AACUCAAAAUUUGGCUGUUUUUUUUUAUUUCUUCUUCUUCUCCUCCUCCAGUUUUCUCUUUUGUGUUUUUCCUCUUGUUAAUUCGAUGAGAUAAUGAAAUUGUAGAUCUUCUGAGUAUUUUCUAGUUAAGUUGAUGUUUGAGUACACCUAAAUUUGAUGUGGGUUUUGUUUUGUUUGUUUAAAAUUUGUGAUUUAUGACCCAAUGAGUUCAUUAAGUUUAGUUGCUUUAGCUUCUAAAAUUGCAAAAGAUAAACAUGUAUUUGCAGUUUGACAAAAUAGUAUUAAUAUUCUAGCUAUAGAAGCCAAACAAAAAUAAACAUUUUACCCUAUUUUUCAUGUUACUUUUCAUUUUCUUUUCAAUAAAAUUGAACAUUUUAGUAUGAAACCAUCUAUUACCUUCCUAUUAUACAAAAUGUGUUUGCAAUACUUAGUUAAGUAACAUGAUUGAUAUGUUUUUUUUCUUUUGGGAUUCAAUUUGAUCAUGAUGUGAUUUUUAGUUGGAAAAUAGGUGAAAAUGGAUUCUCAGCAAUUGCGCGAUGUUGAAUCCUUUAUGAUUCUCGAGGAGAUUGUGGUGUAUUCCUAUAUUGUCCUUAUCUGCUUUUUUAUGGCUAUUUACAGCAUGUUAUUAAGAAAACAAUCUAGAAAUAGAUGGGGCAUUCGAUAUUGUUGAGUGCUAGAAUUCCAAAAAUCUUGUCUCAUCUGAAUUUUCUCAUUCGUGACAAUGAUAUUUUAUGUAUUGACAAGCUUAGGAUGGAUAGAAACGCCUUUCACAUAUUAGCCUCCUUAGCCAAGAAUAUUGGAGGUUUGACUGACAGUAAAAAUAUGUCGAGUACUGAAAAGUUAGCAAUAUUUUUAAAUAUUUUGGCUCAUCAUGAAAAGAACAGGUCUAUCAAAGUUGAUUAUAUUAGAUCGGGUGGAGUGUAAGUGGAGCCUUUAAUGAAUAUCUAAGAGUUAUUCUUAAACUAACUCCAGUAUUACUUGUUAAACCUAAUCCGGUGCUCGAACAUGAUAGUGAUGAUCGAUGGAAAUGGUUUAAGGUAGGUAAAUUUCAAUCUUAACAUUUGAUUUACUACAAUAAACUUGAAAUAUUAUGGUGAACGUAUUUUUAUUUUUAAUAGUCAUUUAGUAUUUAGAGUUAAUUUAUCUUAUAGGGUUGUCUUGGUGCAUUGGAUGGCACUUACAUUUCCAUUAGAGUUGAAGCAAUAUAUAAACCAAGAUACAGAACACGAAAUAGAGAUAUAGCAACUAAUGUCUUGAGGGUUUGUGAUAGAAAUCUCAACUUUAUUUAUGUAUUACCUGGUUGGGAGGGAUCAGUCGCUGAUGGUCGCGUAUUGCGAGAUGUUGUUGUACGAAGAAAUAGGUUGAAAGUACCUCAUGGUAAUUAAUAUUUGUGAGAUGGAGGAUAUACAAAUGGAAAUGGUUUACUGUCUCCCUACCGAGGAUAUAGAUAUUGGCUAAAGGAUUGGUAGGGUGACAAUCCAUCACUUCGAUGUCGAGAAGAGCUCUUUAAUAUGAAGCAUGCUGGGGAACGUAAUGUUAUCUAACGAGCAUUUGGACUAUUAAAAGGACGUAAGGGAAUUCUUAGAAGUCCUCCGUAGUACUCAGUUAAGGUUCACAAUAGAAUUAUUAGUGCAUGUUGUUUAUACACAAUUUCAUUCGAAGAGAUAUGGAAGCUGACCCCUUAGAUAUGGAAAUGGAUUUCCACAUGGAGAAUCAACAUGAACAUGAAAAUAUUAAUACAAUUGAAACAUCUGAUGAGUAGACCACUUGGAGGGAUGAACUAGCUCAGUCUAUGUGGAAUGAACGAUUGGGAAACCAAUAUUUAUAAUUUUAAACUAUGUGCUCAUUUUUGGUGUGCUUAUGAACUUUUACUUUUGAUUUUCCAUCCACUGUAAAAUGUAAUACCUUCUAUUAUUUUGUGAAAACAAAUGGUCAAUCUUUUGUAUGUCU